GACGACGGUAAAAAUAGUAAAUUUUAGCUAGUAAAAGGUAAUUUUUAUUCGGGUAUUAUUUUUCGGGGUGUUGAAUUUUGGAAUUUUGGGUUAAAAGGAGUGUUGGGUCGGCUGGGCCGAGCCCAACCCAUUUCUUCUUUCUCUUCUCCCUCUCUCCCGAUUCUCUCUCCUCCCACCCGAUUUUCUCCUCUCUACACCCAGAAGAAUUUCCGGCCGUCCUCCCGCAGCCGUCCGACCUCCGUUCGCCGCCGGACCGGUCCCGUUCGGUCGGUCUCCCUCCCAGAUUCCAUUCUAGGCCGGUAGCAGCCCCCCUAGCGCCGCCGUGGGAGAGCGGUGCCGCCCGAAAGCAAGGGCUGUCCCGAAGUUCCCUUCGCCGGAACUUCCUCCUCCGGCCACCAAUCCGGGCAAGCUUGGUACGGUUUUGUAGCCCUCCUCCCGUGCAACAACCCCUCCAAACAGCUCCCUCCCUCUUGAGCUAGGUAAGGAGAAAUUUGAGGUGGAAGUUUUAUGGUGUUUAAGUUGUUUUCGUUCGAUUAGCCUAGUUAGGCUUGGAAUUGGGUGAUGUGUUAGUCAUGAAAGUUGUAGAGGAGAUUGAGAGGAAGAUUCUGUUAAAAUUUGGUAGCAUUUGCAGGUCGCCGGAAAACGGCUGCCGGCCCGCCGCUGGCGGCGCCGCCGCCGGUUAGGAGAUUUUUAGGGUUUUAAAUGUGGAAUAUUAAGAGGAGUAUAUUGGUGUGAUUUAUGGAAUUUUUGGAUGAGUUUUGGAUAGGUUUGUGAAUUUCCGAAGUUUGGUAUUUUUGGCGGUUAAUUAAUGUAGAAUCCGGCCGUAGGAUUUAAGUCGUAUUUUGGGGAGGUUAUAUUUACGACUGUGGAGUAUGAUAUUUAAGUUCGGAUCGUUCCGAUGUAAGAAUAUCGAAGUUAGGCAAUAAUGAGCGUAAUUAUGGCUCUCGGGUAAUUUUGCCUAUUUUGAUUAAAUAUUGGAUUAUUGGUUGGGAAAUUAAUAUUUUAUUUGGAACAGGACGUGAGGAGGCUCGAGCAGACGAGACCCCAGAUCGACAUCAGGCUUAGGCCUAAUUUGUGAGUGGACGUUUAUUUUAAAUAAAU
rnacentral:lncRNA from 1 species